UCAAGUGACUAAGAGCAUGUGGUGGAUGCCUUGGCGAUGAUAGGCGACGAAAGACGUGAUAGCCUGCGAAAAGCUACGGAGAGCUGGCAAAUAAGCAUUGACCCGUGGAUAUCUGAAUGGGGAAACCCACCCGCAAGGGUAUCAAUAACUGAAUACAUAGGUUAUUGAAGCGAACCGAGUGAACUGAACCAUCUAAGUAACUCGAGGAAAAGACAUCAACCGAGAUUACGAAAGUAGUGGCGAGCGAAAUCGUAACAGCCUUGUAGAGAUAGCAAAAUUGACAGCAAAACAAACUGGAAAGUUUGACCAUAGCGGGUGAUAGUCCUGUAUGCGAAAUCAGUUUUGUGGUACUAAGCUACGAACAAGUAGGGCGGGGCACGUGAAACCUUGUCUGAAUAUGGGGGGACCAUCCUCCAAGGCUAAAUACUCAUCAUCGACCGAUAGUGAACCAGUACCGUGAGGGAAAGGCGAAAAGAACCCCGGGAGGGGAGUGAAAUAGACCCUGAAACCGCAUGCUUACAAAAAGUAGGAGCCCUUUAUGGGUGACUGCGUACCUUUUGUAUAAUGGGUCAGCGACUUACAUUUAGUGGCGAGGUUAACCGAAUAGGGAAGCCGAAGAGAAAUCGAGUCCGAAUAGGGCGAUCAGUCGCUAGGUGUAGACCCGAAACCAAGUGAUCUAUCCAUGGCCAGGAUGAAGGCGUCGUAACAGGCGCUGGAGGUCCGAACCGACUAAUGUUGCAAAAUUAGCGGAUGAGUUGUGGAUAGGAGUGAAAGGCUAAACAAACUUGGAGAUAGCUGGUUCUCUCCGAAAACUAUUUAGGUAGUGCCUCAAGUAUUACCGAUGGGGGUAGAGCACUGUUUUGGCUAGGGGGUCAUGGCGACUUACCAAACCAAGGCAAACUCCGAAUACCAUUGAGUACAGCUUGGGAGACAGUGCACCGGGUGCUAACGUCCGGACACAAGAGGGAAACAACCCAGACCGCCAGCUAAGGUCCCUAAAAUUGGCUAAGUGGGAAACGAAGUGGGAAGGCAUAGACAGUCAGGAUGUUGGCUUAGAAGCAGCCACCAUUUAAAGAAAGCGUAAUAGCUCACUGAUCGAGUCGUCCUGCGCGGAAGAUGUAACGGGGCUAAGCCAGUUACCGAAGCUGCGGAUUUGCAAUUUAUUGCAAGUGGUAGGAGAGCGUUCUGUAGGCCUGUGAAGGUGGCUUGUAAAGGCUGCUGGAGGUAUCAGAAGUGCGAAUGCUGACAUGAGUAGCGUUAAAGCGGGUGAAAAGCCCGCUCGCCGUAAGCGCAAGGUUUCCUACGCAACGUUCAUCGGCGUAGGGUGAGUCGGCCCCUAAGGCGAGGCAGAGAUGCGUAGCUGAUGGGAAGCAGGUUAAUAUUCCUGCACCGAUACAAGUGCGAUGUGGGGACGGAUUUUAAUAGGUGAUCCGGGUGUUGGAUAUCCCGGUUUAGGCAGAUGUAGGCGUGUGUUAGGCAAAUCCGGCACACAUAUACCGAGGCUGUCGAUCCAGCGAGCUUGCUCGUGAAGUCACUGAACGGGGUCCCAGGAAAAGCCACUAAGCUUCAGCUUGUAUACGACCGUACCGCAAACCGACACUGGUGCGCGAGAUGAGUAUUCUAAGGCGCUUGAGAGAACUCUGGAGAAGGAACUCGGCAAAUUGACACCGUAACUUCGGGAAAAGGUGUGCCCCGGUAGCGUGAUGAGAGCAUCUGAGCGUGAAAGGGUUGCAAAAAAUAGGUGGCUGCGACUGUUUAUUAAAAACAUAGCACUCUGCAAACACGAAAGUGGACGUAUAGGGUGUGACGCCUGCCCGGUGCUGGAAGAUUAAUUGAUGGGGUGCAAGCUCUUGAUCGAAGUCCCAGUAAACGGCGGCCGUAACUAUAACGGUCCUAAGGUAGCGAAAUUCCUUGUCGGGUAAGUUCCGACCUGCACGAAUGGCGUAACGAUGGCCACAC
rnacentral:rRNA from 1 species